GGUCUUUUACGUCGGCCUUCGCGAGCGUCUGGGCGGGUGGUAGGUGAGUGGGUAUUGCGGGCUAGUAUCCGAGCAAAAGAUGGUGGCGCAGGCCGAGUUAAGAGCUUUAAUCCUGUGAAGACAUCUUAGUGAAGAGUUUAGAGUGCUGAGAGUUGAAAGCUUGCACGUGGGAAACGUGCGGCCGGACUGCCACAUGUACUGAGGUUGAGUCGUGACGGCCACAGGCUCCGAGUUUUGGCGUGAGGAACCGCUGAUCGGCCACGGGCGCCGAACUUGCUGGCCUCCGGCAUGUGCCUGAGCGGCGGCGGAAAAACCACCUUAAUUGGGGCGGAGGGUUAGUUUUAACAGCAAAGGGCCUUUACUAAAAUGGCGAAGGCCUUCCGUCGGCGUUGUUUUAAAAUGGGAAGCCUCGACCCUGUAUUGAAACUGAGCUGUUCGAAGGCGGCGUUGUGUGCAAUUCGGAUUAAUGAAGGGGAAGGGUUUUGUGUGGAAAAACGCCUUGGAGUGUGACAUUUCUGCGAGAAUGCUUAAAUACCGAUUUCCCGCAGGAACAAUGGCGCUGUCUUCAGUGGCACAGUGGAGCAGCUCUGAAGAUGCAAAGAUACACGAAAAAACUUCCAGAACAUCUGGGAGAAUAUUUAAUGGAAAAUCGCUUGGUUAAAACCUGACACUUUUAACAGUGAACAGCGUUCUGAGUGUGGACGAGUAGCCAGUGAAGAUAAUGAAUGUCGAAUGUGACUGACUAGCAGCUUCAUUUUGAAGGCUAGUGCCACGAGGUUUACUUGACUGUUGUGUGAAAAGCUGAUAAGAAAACCAUCCAGAAAAAAGCUCUUCGUUUUACAAACAUGAAAAUAAAACAUGUAAUUUUGGAUUAUGUUCCUUUUUGUUAUUACUUUUAAAUAGGUCCUGAAAUAACAUGGGGAGCAUUAAAUGGAAAAUCCACUAAC
rnacentral:lncRNA from 1 species